UACGGAGGGUGCGAGCGUUGUCCGGAAUCAUUGGGCGUAAAGGGCGCGUAGGUGGCCUGCUAAGCGUGCGGUGAAAGCUCGGGGCUCAACCCCGAGUCGGCCGUGCGAACUGGUGGGCUUGAGCACUGUAGAGGCAGGCGGAAUUCCGGGUGUAGCGGUGGAAUGCGCAGAUAUCAGGAAGAACACCUAUGGCGAAGGCAGCUCUCUGGACCGGCAUUGACGCUGAGGUGCGAAAGCGUGGGGAGCAAACAGG
rnacentral:rRNA from 1 species